UUGACCUCGGAUCAGGUAGGGAUACCCGCUGAACUCAAUAAGCGGAGG
rnacentral:rRNA from 1 species